rnacentral:rRNA from 1 species
UACGGAGGGGGCUAGCGUUGUUCGGAAUUACUGGGUGUAAAGCGCACGUAGGCGGCUUUGUAAGUUAGAGGUGAAAGCCCGGGGCUCAACUCCGGAAUUGCCUUUAAGACUGCAUCGCUAGAAUUGUGGAGAGGUGAGUGGAAUUCCGAGUGUAGAGGUGAAAUUCGUAGAUAUUCGGAGGAACACCGGUGGUGUAGACGGCUCACUGGACCGUAACUGACGCUGAGACACGAAAGCGUGGGUAGCAAACAGG